rnacentral:rRNA from 1 species
UACGAGAGGCCCAAACGUUAUUCGGAAUUACUGGGCUUAAAGAGUUCGUAGGCGGCGCGGAAAGUGGGGUGUGAAAGCCCUCGGCUCAACCGAGGAAUUGCGCUCCAAACUACCGUGCUUGAGGAAGCUAGAGGUGAGCAGAACUGAUGGUGGAGCGGUGAAAUGCGUUGAUAUCAUCAGGAAUACCGGAAGCGAAGGCGGCUCACUGGGGCUUUUCUGACGCUGAGGAACGAAAGCCAGGGUAGCGAACGGG